CAGCUGAAUAGAUAGUCGGGCGUGAAGACUCUACUUGACUAGCUGAGAGGAGGUGCAUGGCCGUCGUCAGUCGUACUGUGAAGCAUCCUGUUAAGUCAGGCAACGAGCGAGACCCACGCCAACAGUUGCCAGCUCGUCCUCCGGGAUGGUGGGGACACUGUUGGGACCGCCUCUGCUAAAGAGGAGGAAGGAAUGGGCAACGGUAGGUCAGCAUGCCCCGAAUUAUCUGGGCUACACGCGGGCUACAAUGGGUGGGACAAUGGGUAUCGACACCGAAAGGUGAAGGCAAUCUCCUAAACCCAUCCGUAGUUCGGAUUGUGGGCUGCAACUCGCCCACAUGAAGCUGGAAUCUGUAGUAAUCGUGUCUCAAAAUGGCACGGUGAAUAUGUCCCUGCUCCUU
rnacentral:rRNA from 1 species